rnacentral:piRNA from 1 species
UCAAGGACUCACUGCUUCCUUUGGCCAAGG